rnacentral:rRNA from 1 species
UGGGGAAUCUUGCGCAAUGGGCGAAAGCCUGACGCAGCCAUGCCGCGUGAGUGAUGAAGGCCUUAGGGUUGUAAAACUCUUUCACCGGGGACGAUAAUGACGGUACCCGGAGAAGAAGCCCCGGCUAACUUCGUGCCAGCAGCCGCGGUAAUACGAAGGGGGCUAGCGUUGCUCGGAAUUACUGGGCGUAAAGGGCGCGUAGGCGGAUCAGCAAGUUGGGGGUGAAAGCCCGGGGCUCAACCUCGGAAUUGCCUUCAAAACUGCUGAUCUAGAGUACGGGAGAGGUGUGUGGAACUCCGAGUGUAGAGGUGAAAUUCGUAGAUAUUCGGAAGAACACCAGUGGCGAAGGCGACACACUGGCCCGUUACUGACGCUGAGGCGCGAAAGCGUGGGGAGCAAACAGGAUUAGAUACCCUGGUAGUCCACGCUGUAAACGAUGAUUGCUAGUUGUCGGCAGGCAUGCCUGUCGGUGACGCAGCUAACGCAUUAAGCAAUCCGCCUGGGGGAGUACGGUCGCAAGAUUAAAAACUCAAAGG